UUUCUGUUGCAGCUAUAGCUGAACUUCUUGACAAUGCAGUGGAUGAGAUAAACAAUGGUGCAACGUUCAUAAAAGUGGAUAAAAGCAUCAAUUCGAAAGACAAUAGCCCAAUGCUAGUUUUCCAAGAUGAUGGAGGAGGUAUGGAUCCUGAAGGUGUUCGUCGAUGCAUGAGUUUAGGAUUCUCAACCAAGAAAUCUAAGAACACUAUUGGCCAGUGUAUGUAUUAUUUUAUUUAAACUUGAUGAUUUAUGACCU